UCUCUGUGCUAAGGCCGCGAAGUCAUUCGUUUUCUCAUUGUAAACUUGUAUGAAUGGGAGAUCGGGCUUAUUAUAUUUUUGAGGGUUCUGUUGAAUUUAGAUUUUUGGUGAAAAUUCCAAAUUUUUUUGAAAAGACGAGAAGACCCUAAAAUUUUUAUGUUUAUGUUUAUGGAAUAGGCGAUAAACUUUUGUUUGGGGGAAAUUUUAAUUUUUAUUAUAUGAUUUAUUAAUAUGAACUUUUUUGAAGGUUGACAGGCCUAAUACUUUAGGGGUAACAGGAUAAUUUUAUCUUG
rnacentral:rRNA from 1 species